rnacentral:rRNA from 1 species
AUUGAACGCUGGCGGCAGGCCUAACACAUGCAAGUCGAACGGCAGCACAGAAGAGCUUGCUCUUUGGGUGGCGAGUGGCGGACGGGUGAGUAAUGUCUGGGAAACUGCCCGAUGGAGGGGGAUAACUACUGGAAACGGUAGCUAAUACCGCAUAACGUCGCAAGACCAAAGUGGGGGACCUUCGGGCCUCACACCAUCGGAUGUGCCCAGAUGGGAUUAGCUAGUAGGUGGGGUAAUGGCUCACCUAGGCGACGAUCCCUAGCUGGUCUGAGAGGAUGACCAGCCACACUGGAACUGAGACACGGUCCAGACUCCUACGGGAGGCAGCAGUGGGGAAUAUUGCACAAUGGGCGCAAGCCUGAUGCAGCCAUGCCGCGUGUAUGAAGAAGGCCUUCGGGUUGUAAAGUACUUUCAGCGGGGAGGAAGGCGGUGAGGUUAAUAACCUCGCCGAUUGACGUUACCCGCAGAAGAAGCACCGGCUAACUCCGUGCCAGCAGCCGCGGUAA